UACGUAGGGGGCAAGCGUUGUCCGGAAUUAUUGGGCGUAAAGAGCUCGUAGGCGGUCUGUCGCGUCGGCUGUGAAAACCCGGGGCUCAACCCCGGGCCUGCAGUCGAUACGGGCAGACUAGAGUGCGGUAGGGGAGACUGGAAUUCCUGGUGUAGCGGUGAAAUGCGCAGAUAUCAGGAGGAACACCAGUGGCGAAGGCGGUUCUCUGGGCAUUACCUGACGCUGAGGAGCGAAAGUGUGGGGAGCGAACAGG
rnacentral:rRNA from 1 species